UCUGGUGUAUGGCUUUGCUAGUUUGCUUCAAUAGGGUGGUUGUACAGAUGGUCUGCUCUCAGACCGAAAGAAGACAACAAUUGCAGCCACCACUGUCAUGUUCCAAAGAAGGGUAUGUGAUGGCAAAACAUUUGUUUCCAGAGUUUCCCUCCCGGUUGGACAAAUUGGUACAGCUGUUCUCCAUUUUUUAACCUGCUAAUGUAAAUAUCAGAAAAUGCUUGUUUUAAUCUAGAUGGUGAAAACUGAAAAGCUAGUUGGAAAUUAGACAGUUAUAAUGUAAGGUGUUGAUUGCUGGAAAUUUUCUGUAAUCAAAACUGUGUAUAUGCUUCUCGAUCAACUUCUAAUGUUAUAAUUUAAAAAUGUUAAAAUUGAUAUUUCACA